AUUGAACGCUAGCGGGAUGCCUUACACAUGCAAGUCGAACGAGUGGCGAACGGGUGAGUAACGCGUAGGUAACUACCUAUUAGAGGGGGAUAACUAUUGGAAACGAUAGCUAAUACCGCAUACUAGUAGAUGGACCUGCGUUGUAUUAGCUAGUAGGUAGGGUAAUGGCCUACCUAGGCAACGAUACAUAGCCGACCUGAGAGGGUGAUCGGCCACACUGGGACUGAGACACGGCCCAGACUCCUACGGGAGGCAGCAGUAGGGAAUCUUCGGCAAUGGGGGGAACCCUGACCGGGCAACGCCGCGUGAGUGAAGAAGGUUUUCGGAUCGUAAAGCUCUGUUGUUAAGGAAGCGGUACUUAACCAGAAAGGGACGGCUAACUACGUGCCAGCAGCCGCGGUAAUAC
rnacentral:rRNA from 1 species